GGAGAGGUGGCAGAGUGGCCGAAUGCGGCGGUCUUGAAAACCGUUGCCUCGCAAGGGGCCGUGAGUUCGAAUCUCACCCUCUCCG
rnacentral:tRNA from 1 species